rnacentral:misc_RNA from 1 species
AAGUGAAUGGAUUGUCUAGUCUGUUAGCUUUUUAAGCAAGAAAAGAGACCAUACACAGACAGAACAUUGACACAUACAAUUUUCCCUUAAUAAUUAACAAUGUCUCUGAACAAGAUACUACUACAACAGGGCACUAGUCCCUGAGACUGAUUACGCUUUCAAAAUUUGGUUGUACAUAUCAACCUCCUGUCUCAAUGGAUCGUCAUAAGAUCAGUGUAGCAGUCAAGUCUCAACCCCAGAAAAUUAUAAAUCCAUGAGUGAUCCCUUCCGCACACAAUGAGUCAGUUUCAUAUUGUUUCAGUGCUACCUUUCCGAUUCAUCAGGUCAUGGUAAUACAACAGCACACACAUGGGUUGACCAAGAAUGCAGAAUAUGAACCAGAAGAUCAUAUUUCCCACCUGUCCAAUUAAAAAGAAUCACAUCAAGUAAUACUCAUCUGGGACUUUGGCAAGUUUGAAUUUGUUGUAUUGGAAUGGCAGCAGCUUGAAUCCAGCUUUAUGUAAAUUCAUUAUGUUACUUCAGGUAUUACAUAUUCCUAGCAAAGCUUUAUAUAAAUCAUUCUCCAUGAAUCUCAUUUUGAUUCAUUUUCGACAUAGAAGUUGAUGCUGAAAAGAUAAACGAGCUAAAAUAAGCCAGGAAAUAAAGAGGUGAAAAAAUACACAUACCAUUGAACUUCUGAACUUGUUUUGGAGAUAACUUGUUAUCACAACCAAAGGAAUCUGAUUAAAACAGGGAAAGACAAAUUUCAUUCACAUCUCCUGCAUAAUUUUAAUCCCCUCUAGUGCAAACUUAAUUUUUUAUUUACAAAUCCAUCAGGAGGCCCAUUGGAACUCGGGCUAUACAACAAGACAGCCCAUUUUCAGUCCUGUAAAAAAAACUCCAUCCCAGUGGGAAUUCGUAUUUGGGAUCUUUAUAUGCCAGAUCCCAAGUUCUAAAGUAAAAUAAACUUCUGCUAAUACUUGAAUUGAUUACCUGAAACAUUAUUCCAAUAAAAGCCCAGAGCUUGAACAUGUGGCACGGGACAGCAAUGCACAACUCAUGAAAGACAGCCGAAACGAAGAAGGCAAUAAUUAAGGCUAUCCCCUUUGGUACUUUAUGCCGUAAGCAGGGAAAGUAGAUAUGCCGAACCAUCCACUUAUGAACAGGCAUAUUCCACAUUCUCCAAUACUCAUCGACUGUUCUUGCAUUCCACCAAUCUUUAUAGAACUCUCGAUCACCAAAGCGAAGGAGCUCAGCAAGUAUAUUUAACCUGUAUUGCAAAUGUAAGCAUAAUGCACAUCAAAGGCUCAAACAUUGUGUCUUGGUUGAAAGAAUCAAAGCUUGUAUAACAGAUGAGCUUAGUCCUAUGGUUCUCCUUUCCUCUCAAGAAACCAAGAAUUUUCUCCAAAUUCUGCAAAUAUAUCAAACUAGCGCGUAGUUUUAAUGGAGAAAUGAGAUAGGUAUUCACACAAUUCAAAAAAAGUGGUUUUAAGGGUGAUUGAAGUACAUUAUUGAAAUAAUCUGCAAAAAUUAUUACGUCCAUUCGUUCAUCAAUCAUUUAACCAUAAUGCAUAAAACAUUAAAACUAGAAAUAAGCCGAAUAUAUGACACUGAUUGAUCUAGCAACUUUAACACAACAACAAACCAGUACAUAUGAGGUAAACAUAAAUACAGCUACUAGUCUACUAGAUCUUCAUGACAUUAGCAGAAACAAUUAUUAAAACCAUCUCAAAUGAAGGAGAAAAAUGUACUUUGUAACAUCUGGGAAGAAAAAAUAAAAAACUGAUCUCACCAUAAGUGAAAAAAGCAGUAGAACAUGCAGAGCCACACAUAUAAAUUUGGAACUGAAAGCUUCAAAACCCUCUCUAUAGCAUAUAAGAGAUCCCCCUUUAAAGGAUGUUGUGAAUUCUGGACAAUAGGAUUGAUAUAUUGUUCUAUGAUAAAUCCCAUGAAUCCUGUAAAUAUUACUAACUUGAGAAAUUGACGAACAACCCAACUCUUUCGAACAGAGGCUGUGCGAGGAUAAAUUGGCUGGUAACAUAAUGUGGGAGCAACCAUGAAGUAAACCAAACUCUUGAAGCUAACAUCACAAGAAUAAUCUGCAUUAAAAGUAUUGGACAGUGUAUCCCCCUUAUCAACUGAGUUGGCAACAGCUCUCAUAUCAUAGUUUGUAUGUGCAUAAGAUACCAAUUUCAACCACACAAUACAAGCAAAGAGCAUCAAUGUGACACCAGAUAAAACAGCAGAUUCACAACUGCAAAAAUUAGUAAAAGAAUAAUUGAGCAUGUUAGCGUCCUUGAUGCUUACUAAACCAAGAAUAAUAACAUAAAAAAAUACAAGAUUCUGCUAAUAUAAUGCUCAAAGAAAAAUGAAUUUAGCUAGAUGGAAUGCCUACCAUCGGAACUGUGAAUAAAUUACCCAGAAAACCUUUCCAGUAUUGUCAUUGAUAUAUGGGCAGGAUAAGCUACGCAAUGUAGGCAACUCUGAUGAUCAAACCAUAAAUAUUUCCAAGAAUUUCAAUUGUUUACUCAAUGUGUUUCCAACAAUAUCUGCUUUCAACAUGAAUUUCUAAUACUUUAAACAAUCUUUGUUGACAUCAUUAAAAUUAUUCUAUAUCUAAUUUUUAGCAACAAUUAUGCUGUGUAGACAGUUAUUUGAUCUUUAUUUUCAUAAAACAGAAAAGAAAUUUAAUUCUCAGGAAAUAUACACGCUCUCAACAAUUUAAGAUGUUAUAAAUAUCAGCUAUAAUGGCUAAAUUAGAGCAGCAACAAGAAAAAGAAAAGUAAAAACCUGAGAAUCACAGAAACAGGGUAUGAAACUGCUGCUGAGGUGAUGAGCACAUGAAAGAAAACAACAAUCUGCGUCAUUAAACUUAGUCAAUUUUCCAGUUCCAAAUGACAAUGACCCAACAUACCAUGUAUCUUAUAUUAUUGGAAGAAUUUUAGUAAAGCCAGAACUAUUAUAAGCAAUGCACAAAAUAGUAGGACAGGAAACACUCACAGGUUCAGAUAUAUAUCUUCGAUAUGCCAACUUUUCUACUAGAUAGGCAGCAAGAGGGAAAAUUGGGAGAGUAAGACUGCAAUAGAAGCCAUAAUUCACAGAAACAUGGUAGGUUCUGUGUCAACUAUUAACUGGAACUCAGAAAAACUCAAAACAGCUUAUGCGCAAAGAAAUUCCUUCUCUAUCAAAUUUGAAUUAGAUAAAAAGCUAUAAAGAUAUGUUACCAGCACAUUAGAAGGGGCCAAUCUCUCAAUGACCUUGAACUAAACCAAAACCCAGUUUUAAUUAACCAACCAUACUGCAAAAUAACAAAUGGAUAAGCCACUUCAUACCAUAAAUUGUAAGAGGACAUUUUCUUAGUAAUUUCAUAUACAAAGAAUACCACCUUAGGUCUUGAAAAAAAAACAUGAAAAAGAAGAAGAAAGGAAAAAUGAGAGUUGAAGCAAAGGGCAAAUGCACCGAUCGUCAUUCAACUGAAGUUACUGAACUAUAAAAUGCAAAUAGAAAAAGACGAACCUUCAUUAGAUUCUCAAUGAUGAGCCUGCUGUUAACAGCAACAAGCACUACUAUGCAGAGGUUGAAGAGACCCGCAUGACUUUGUUUAAAUAUAGCAUCAGAGCUAAGUGGACUCUCCUUGAGCACACGAUGAGCCGGCACUGAUGGCCGAUACGUAAAUUUAAAAUCCGAUCCUCCACGAUUCUCACGAUUCUCAACCUUAUCCUUUUCGUGGCCGCAAUCUUUUCCAUUCCUUUUCAAAUUUUCCGAUUCCACCACAGGUGCCGGAUCCAUCAUCAUCUGGCCUCCGACAUCAGAUUCCAACUUAUCAAUUUUCGAAGACAAUUCAGCUACGGCUCCAGCCGAGUUGUUGAAGCUCCGCCUCCGUCGAAGCGAGAGGUUAAGAUCCGAGAAGGACUCAGAGAUGCCAGCACCGGCGGUGGAGAUCGUGGUAGUCUCCAUGGAGGCAGAAAGAUUCCCCGCCACUGGAGAGAGAAAUAACAGAGAUGGAGAAUUCUAGAGAGAGAAAGAGUCCAACGAAGAAGAGCGCGUAAAAAGCAUGUGUAUGGCAAGAAAAUAGGUGGAAUUUAUACUAACAAGAGCAUUUUCAUGCAAAGAGGAGUGGAGGAAGCGUGACGGUGAAAAGAGAGGGAGAGGAACAGAGAAGAGAAGGACUUUUAAUUGGAUUUGGAUUUUAGAAUACAAGUAACAAAGUCUAGAGGAUUGGCCACGACGUUUGGCGUUUUCCAGUUGAACGGUCACAAGAUAGGUUGUUGUGGUGGAGGCGGUGAUGGUGGACGUCAUGCAAAAUCAGUGCGGUGUCAUAGGCAUAUAUAUAUAUAUAUUAUUAGUCGAUUUUGGAUGCGUCAAUGGUUAUUGCUUUUUCUGAUGGCGAACAGGGAAGUGGGAUUUUG